CACAAAGGCUUUGGAAGCAAGAGGAUGAGCAUGUUCCGUGCUGCAGGGUGAUGGGGGCGCUGAAGGGCUGUGAUCUGGGGGAUAAAGUGAUCAGACGUUUGCAAGGCCCUCGAGAGACCAAAUCAUAGGCCGAGGACGGCUUGAUGAGCCGAUCAUUAGAGCAAAGGAGCUGAGUGAUCGGGAGAGCGGCUCCCAGCCAAGGAGGGCCAAGCGACGGCCUGGCUGGAACUCACGAAUGUUCGGCUGUGCCAAGGCAGAGAGCAGAGACGGCCAGGCCAAGAGUCAGCAAAUCUGGGGACUUUCCAAACUCCCUCAGGCAAUUCUGGUGUCUGGAUAGAAGAGAUCACUACCCUCAAUGAGAUGAAGCAAUUAUUUCCCUCUUUAUUUGGUGUUUUCAAAGACCAUUAAGCUUAUUUGGUCCACACUGGGAAACAAAGUAAUUUUCUAUUCAAGGUAUUUUUGAUCCUCAACAACUCAUUUUUCAUCCGUGUCAGUCUCACCCUCCUGGAAGUCCGUGUCUUGGCAGACCCGGCCACGGCCACAGCUUGGUCAAGUCAGAGAAAGUAAAAGAAAAGCUCUCCGAGGUCUAAGGGAGUGAUCGUCGCAAACCCUUUACCUUUCAUCC